UACAGAGGGGGCAAGCGUUGUUCGGAAUUACUGGGCGUAAAGGGCGCGUAGGCGGCCUUCUAAGUCGAACGUGAAAUCCCUGGGCUCAACCCAGGAACUGCGUCCGAUACUGGGAGGCUUGAAUCCGGGAGAGGGAUGCGGAAUUCCAGGUGUAGCGGUGAAAUGCGUAGAUAUCUGGAGGAACACCGGUGGCGAAGGCGGCAUCCUGGACCAACACUGACACUGAUAAGCGAAAGCCAGGGGAGCAAACGGG
rnacentral:rRNA from 1 species